CCCUUAGAUGUCCGGGGCUGCACGCGCGCUACACUGUAGAAAGCAGCGUGCUUUAAAACCUUUCCUGAAAAGGAUGGGUAACCCCAGCAAAAUUCUACGUGCUUGGGAUAGAGAUUUGCAAUUUUCUCUCUUGAACGAGGAAUUCCCAGUAAGUGCGAGUCAUCAGCUCGCGUUGAUUACGUCCCUGCCCUUUGUACACACCGCCCGUCGCUACUACUGAUUGGAUGUUUAAGCGAGGUUCUCGAACUGCUAGUGACUGAUCUUCGGUGAGGUCGCAGUGUGGGAAGUGAUCCUAGCUUUGGUGUCUAGAGGAAGUAAAAGUCGUAACA
rnacentral:rRNA from 1 species